CUUGGAUUUAUCAGGCCUCCAGGGAAGCCACUGAGCUGCAUCACGGGACGAUUCCACAUCCAGCCAGACUGUCCAUCUGGGCUGGCUCUGAUCCUUCACCUCCUCCUCCUCCUCCUCUUCAUCCUCCUCUUCUUCCUCUGCUUUCCAACCCCGGGCCCCCAACUCCCCAAUCCUCGCCUCCCCACUAUCCCAGAAAGGCUCAAAGAAGUCAACCUGCAACCAAAGCAGAGGGCUCCCAGAGCUCUUGGCAGAUCUUGAGCCGUUCCAGCUGCAAAACUAUGCAUUUAGGGUUGGUGGCCACUGCCCGCUCUGCGAUGCUCAGCUUUUUCUCCAGGACCGCUUUGUAGGAAGAUUUACGCUGCUCUACCGCAUCAGUGCCCAGCUGCUCCUCCUUACCACCAAAGACUGUUGAAAGCUCGUCCUAGAAAAAGAAAGGCAAACGAUAAAGGUUUUUGAUUAUUACUUUUUGAAUCUAGAAAGGUUAUGUGUUGAUAAAUGAUUGCAUUGCUGAUGUCUAUUGGCAAAAUAAAUUGACCUUCGCAAACUUCCUUCUGAACUUCCAUUAAUAGUUAGCAACUCUGCUGAUGUACUAUGUUUAGACAUAUAGGUUUUUCCCAUUUUCAUAUCUAUAUAUUCACUACUAAAACAGCUCUAUAUGUCACUCUCCAUACCUGGUAUUUUAUGAAUUUUAUCCACAACUGUGUAUCUGCAGGCUGCUCCCUGAGCUGUCUGUUAAACUCUUCAGUCUUUUUGGCCAAAAGCACAGCACUCAGGUCUGUCUGACCGUCCUCCUCCUGCUGGUCCUGCUGUCCUUUCCCCUGCAGCCAGAGGGAUGUGGAGGAGUCAUACACACCGAGGGGAUUUUCUGAUGAUGUCUGCAUUCUUGCACCUGAUUUCAAACAAAGCAUAUUUAAAGUUAGAUAUGAGAAAUUGUGUGUAUUUAUAAUAAAAUAUGAACUCUC